rnacentral:rRNA from 1 species
AGAGAUUGACGGAAGGACACCACCAGGAGUGGAGUGUGCGGCUUAAUUUGACUCAACGCGGGACAACUUACCAAUGCCAGGUGUGUUUGAGAGCGACUCGCGAGACACGCGGCGGUGGUGCAUGGCCGUUUGAAAUGGAUGGCGUGAGCUGAGGAUUAAGUUCCGGAAGAUGUGAGACCCUUGGACUGCGCUUGUUGAGAGCGAGGAGGGAGUGGAACACAACAGGUCCGUUAUGCCCUGAGAUGUGUUGGGCUGCACGCGCACUACGAUAUUCUGCGGGAGCAGAGAUGUGCGGGAUUGAUACUUGUGAAUGUGUCAUGAACGUGGAAUUCCUAGUAAGGGCAGUUCAUUAGGCUGUCUUGAAUGGGUCCCUGUUCUUUGUACACACCGCC